CUGGCUGUGGCAUGAAAUUGAAGAGACUGACGUGCAUUGUGAAGUAAAAACAAAUAGUGACAGUUAGAAUAGCUCAGAAGAAGUGGGUUAACGUCCAAAUAUGUACACAAAUAAGAUGGAUGGGUGACUGGCUGGACUGAUCAGUAAAUAAAUGCACCAAUGGAUAAAUGCAAAGAAAAGAGACGUCAGUUGCAAGGAGAAAAAACAAGCAUACCUCCGAAGGGACAGAUGCCCAGCACUGGCUCUCCUCCAUCCCUCUUUGGCCUCUUGUGCUCUUCCCCAUAUCAGCAGCUCAAUCACUCACCUACCUCUCAUUUACUGCCCCAACGUCUGCAUGACUUUUCAUCUUAAAUCAAAGUUCUUCCAAGAGACGCUAAAUUUAACUUUUGGUUUGUGAAGAUUCCAUUGGCUGUAUACUAAUACUAUGUCUUAACAUUUUUUACUCUCCAGUGAUUUUUGUUGUCUACAAAAUGUAUGUACUUAAUAAAUCAAAACGCAUGAUGAUGA